GGAGUCUUAGUUUAAGUAAAAUAUUUAUGUUGCAUAUAAAUGAUGUAGUGUUGCUGCAGGCUCUG
rnacentral:tRNA from 1 species